rnacentral:lncRNA from 1 species
AUGUCACUCUUCUUAUGGAAACAGCAGCAACAACUGAUGAAGAGCUGCCUUUAUGAUCCAUCUGGCUGUGCACCUAUGAGCAGGAAAUCCUCCACUGGCACCCAGUCCCCCAGUACUGUAGGCACCUGGGCCUUUGUGUUGAAAAGCCACGGAGAGGUUGAGAACCGAAGAGGGAGAAGUGGGAGGACGUCAAGAAGCAAAACCUCACUCAAGAAAUAUCUUAACCACAGACAGCUCAACAGGCAGAGGAGCUGUCUUGCAGGAGCCAUAAGACCCAGGUUGUGUCUCAGUGCCCUUCUCACAGUCAGUAAUUAAUAUUAAUGACAAACGUUAGUAUUCAAACAAGUUAUCUAUCAGAAUUUCUAACUUGAAAAAAACAGCAUGACUUGUAGCUGAAUUGGAUGUGCUUUAUUUAUUUAUUUAUUUAUUUAUUUAUUUAUGUUCCCCCUGCAGUUGGGCAAGGCAACUCUCAAACAUGCUUUACCAGAAGUAUUUUGUAGGAUUUUCCUUUUCCCCACCCAUCAAAAAAUCCCAUGUGCGAGUCCCAUCUUCAUAAAAUAUUUAUUUAUAAAUAUUAUAUCUGCAGCUGUCCAGAGAGACCAGCAGGGAUGUCCUUUUAAAAUAUAUAUUGUUGCAGAUCCUGUUAAGCCCUUACAUCUUUCCCAGGUGGCUUUAGACCUUCUGCUUUAUUUGGUUUGCCUGUCCCAGUGACGCAGUGGCUGGGGACAGUGGUGAGUCCCUGUGCUGUCACCAUGGGAUGUCCCUGUAUACUGGAGCUCCCUGUUCUAGAUGGGCUGUUUGCCCAAGCCACCACUCAGUAGGAUGUGUGGGUGUCCAUGAAAUGUGUUUCUCUGGAAGGCUGGCUGGAUGGCAAAAUCUUCAAAAUACUCAGGGUUUGGUGAACAGUGGAAAACAGAACCUAGUGUGAUGACGAGAAGAGAAAAAGGUUUGUGGUGCUAGGGAGCAGGGUGAUGUUUGGGGGAUAACUGUGCUCUUGCUCAGCUGAGGCUGAGCUAGAACUACCUGAACUGGCUCAGCCAGCCUCAAAAACCUGGAUGUUGUUUUUUAGAUACAUUUGGGCAGUUUUCUACUGCAUCUCUGGAGAGUCCAGCAGCUCUUCUUGUUAUCACAAAACUUCUUAGCAGCUUUUUUUCCUGGGGAGCAAACAUUAGGGGUUGGCUCCCUUUGGCUGAAGGCACCCUCCUGGGUACCUAAGCCUUCCUCUUCUCUGCUGCAUUCAGAUGAAUGUAGAUGAGAUCCAAGUGCCUCCUUUCCUCUCCCAGCAGCAGGCAGUGGGUUUCCACUGGUGUCUGGGACCAAGGCAGUUCCCACCACUUCCUGGGAGCUUUCUGGGAGCAAAAGUCCCUGCUUGUGAAAAAAUACCAAUAAAGGGGAAACAAACAAACA